rnacentral:rRNA from 1 species
CUACGGGCGGCAGCAGUGAGGAAUAUUGCGCAAUGGGCGAAAGCCUGACGCAGCGACGCCGCGUGGGGGAUGAAGGUCUUCGGAUUGUAAACCCCUUUCAGGAGGAAAGAUGGGGUGGGCAACCACCCGGACGGUACCUCCAGAAGAAGCCACGGCUAACUUCGUGCCAGCAGCCGCGGUAAUACGAAGGUGGCGAGCGUUGUUCGGAUUUACUGGGCGUAAAGAGCACGUAGGCGGUUGGGUAAGCCCCUUGGGAAAGCUCCCGGCUUAACCGGGAAAGGUCGAGGGGAACUGCCUAGCUAGAGGGCGGGAGAGGAGCGCGGAAUUCUCGGUGUAGCGGUGAAAUGCGUAGAUAUCGGGAAGAAGGCCGGUGGCGAAGGCGGCGCUCUGGAACGUACCUGACGCUGAGGUGCGAAAGCGUGGGGAGCAAACAGGAUUAGAUACCCCGGUAGUC